rnacentral:tRNA from 1 species
UGAAGAAAUAGUUUAAAGUAUUAAAACAUAACACUGAAAAUGUUAAAAUGAUAUAUUCUUUUUUCAAC